rnacentral:precursor_RNA from 1 species
CUCAUCGGCUGGAUGUAUCUGCAUCCCAAUGUGGAUCCCACUGUGAACAUCAACAUUGGGAUGCAGGUACUUUCAGUCGACGA